rnacentral:lncRNA from 1 species
GGAGAUCUUGGAUGGCCAACUGCCCUUUGGUUAGUUGGUUUUUUUGCAUAGCUAGUAUCUAGAUGAUCAAGUUGGACAUGCCCCCUCCCUUAUGAGCCUAAGCUAUGCUAGAACUUUUUUAUCAACGCUUGAUCAAUUGAAUGGAGGCCACAAUCAAUCUGGGGUGCCUCUACUGGAGGGGGAGAAUUCAUAUCUUGAAGCUUAGUCACAUAGGCUCACAAAACAAAGGUUUUAAUCACUUCUAAUAUAUCUUUGCAAGAGGAGGGG